GAUAGCAUCUUUCAUGAGGUGUCUUGGCAAAUUAUACUGUUUUUUGAAUUUUUGUUUACCUUUUUAUGGAAGAAGCCAGGAUCCUAAAUAACCAUAGGACUCGAUAAGUCCCGUGAGUGAAUGUUUUUUUCUUUCUUAUAUGUUCGUUAUAUGAUACUAUGCUACUUUGGAAGGUCAUAACCUGCAUCAAUUUGUCACGAUUCCACCGGAUGAUCCUUCUUUUGUUUUGAUAACGAGUAUAGGGAUUAUGAAGAAGGUAUGGAGUUGCACGCAUUCUGUGAGAAGUUAUGGACCUCCCAUUUUUGCUAUUAAAGCAACCAAGACCAACAAAGAACUGUGGAUGUUUCUGCAUGAUGAAUUGGCUGUUACCACGAUACCAAGUGUCAUGGAUGGCUGUAGGGAUGCAUCUGGUGAAUGUGAAAUGAGAAAUUCUGGUGAGGUUCGCGCUGACCAGCUUUGGAAGGAAUGGAGACCAGUCGAAGAUCAGUGGCUGUAACAGAAUGAGGAACUAACCACUUUUCUCUCUGUCCAUGAGGAGAAACCUUGGAUUUAGUUGGAGCCAGCAACAAGCUAAUAAAACAGAUAACAAACUGCAUUGUGAAAUCCUGCACGAAUAUAAACUAGGGGUAAGGCCAUUCAAGAUGGGACAGAUUCCGCUACUUUGAAGGCUCUCUUCCAUUUAACAAGAGGUCGGUCAUGUCAGUAUAUCAAAGAGUAUCUGCUUGAAUGAAGAUAUUCCUGGAGGAUAUUCAAGAACUGGAAUAAUUGUCUUGUUUUUUGUAUUACGGGCUAUAAUUUUGGAGGCAAAUUGGUAAAGGAAGAGGUGUCGGGAUAAACCACAGGGCUAAGCGGGGAAGGAAAUGGAAAGCAGAAUCCUACCCAUGAUAUCUACUGGCAUGGAUGCUGCUUCGAUUUCUUUAGAAUGGUUUUGUGCUACUUUUAUAUCCUGGUGCUCUAUUUCAGUACUAUAUGUUUGCUUUGAAUUGACCUCUCCUGACUAAAUGCCUUUAUGCACCCUUUCCAGUGUUCUCCACAUCAUGUUUCCUUUUAAAAGUAGAAAUAUAUAUACCACAUGGCAUGCUGGUAUUUCCUUUUAAUUAUAUAACAUAAAAUAUUCCAGCAUAGAAAUGUCCAUGCUACUCAAAGGUGGAAAUUUUGUUGUUAUAUCAACCCGUGCAAUUAUUUGAUGUUAUAUAUCUUUGUAUCUCACCAGCUAUACUUGAGAAGAAAUAGCCCAUUAUUCUUGCACAUGCACUUUCAUAUUAUAUGUGAGAUCUAUUUUUGUUAGCCAAUUGUUAAUAUCUACUGCACCUAUCCUGGUUUUCUUUGCCCCUUCCAUUUAGGCACUGUAGCACCUAAUCUGAAAGUAAACAAUAAUGUAAGACAUCACUUUCUUCCAUGCAUUCAUAUGCUCCUGGAGCCUACUAUGUCCAAGGUAGUGAGAUUCGAAAGAUAUAAUUUAUUGCCAUCUAACUUAUACACAAAAACUAUUGGAGUUUUAAGGCGAUGUCACGUUUCUGAGUUAUUUAAACACUUGACAGCCCCAAAUAAAUGCUAAUACAACAACAUGAACUUCUAAUCAGCCUAUGCUUAGGGAUGGUAUGGUGUACAACCAAGGCCCAUUUUCUAAUCUGGUAAUUUUGAAUGUUUCUUCAUUUUUUACAAAGAAAGACAUUAACCUUCUUUUUGAAAUUUUCCAUUCAUCUAUACUCAUGCCUCUACAUUUUCUGCACCACAAAAUGCUGGUACUGAAACACAUACAUCCAAAUUGGUCUCUAUACCCUUUGGUCACUACCUUGGAUUGCUGGUGGUGGAGCCAAAGCUCACCCAAAGAGGGUUGGCGGUGGAGUGGGACGGGUGAUGGAGGUGGUUGAGUUGGGAGGUUGAUGGAGAUCUAACAUGUGUGCCCUAAUUUAAAAAUAAGUUUUAGCUGACUGGACUGUCAGGUACGCCACCCAAAACUAAUAAGUUUUAGCUGACUGGACUGUCAGGUACGCCACCCAAAACUACUCUAGAUUGAGUUAGUGGUGUAAUUCGUUUUUUCCCUUUUGUUAUGUGGUGAUUGAAGAACUUGGGUUCAGAGUGUGUUCAGACUGUUCUAGAAAACUAAAGUAUGUUUAGACAGGGAUAUGUAUUGUAUAACUAACUCUCAAGUUGAAAAUAAAUAUAAGGCAAAAGUUAUAAAUAUGUUCUUUUUUCAUGAAUGGAAAUUGCACAUCUUACAAAAUAUUACAGUGCGUUCUGUAGAUUAUGAAACUUCUACUAGGAGAAGAAUAGUCAUUCUCAAUGAUUAUAUACAGUUAUAAGUUUGAGUGGUAAGCACAUGCCAACCGUGAUGAUUCUGACGUUCAUAUCAACACCCAUGCACAGGUUUGGAGGUCUUCCCUACCUCCCUUAUUGAAUAAAGUUAAUAAUAGCCAAGAGAUGAUCUUCUUGAAGUAUUGUGGCAACUGGCAACUGAUAAAAUUUUAAAUUGUUACACAUCAAUAUUCUGUGUAAAGGGCUAAAGGUUAGUUGUAAAUUGGACGGCUCAUUCAAAGAAUACAGACAUGGUUUCACCCAACACUAUCUGCAUACUGCUACUUUGAUAUUGAUACAUUUUGUCUAAAAAGAUAAUAUUUUUUAUUGUGAUCCUUCUUUAUUUGAUUGUGAGGAAAUUUAUAUCAAAUUUCUGGAAUUACAAAUUAAUCACAUUUGCCUAUGUGCCUAUGUGAUAAAUGUACGAAUUCAUCAACAUUGUACAUAGCUAAUAGCCUAAUACUGAUAAUUACCCAAAAAGCAAUGAGUAAAAAAUUAAUAUAUUUGCAUAGACUAUCUGAUAUAUAUAU